rnacentral:rRNA from 1 species
CAGCAGCCGCGGUAAUACGAAGGUCCCAGGCGUUGUUCGGAAUCACUGGGCGUAAAGGGUGCGUAGGCGGUUUGGUAAGUCAGUGGUGAAAGCCCAUCGCUCAACGAUGGAACGGCCAUUGAUACUGCUAGACUUGAAUUAUUAGGAAGUAACUAGAAUAUGUAGUGUAGCGGUGAAAUGCUUAGAGAUUACAUGGAAUACCAAUUGCGAAGGCGGGUUACUACUAGUUUAUUGACGCUGAUGGACGAAAGCGUGGGGAGCGAACAGGAUUAGACACCCUGGUAGUCCACGCCGUAAACGAUGGAUACUAGCUGUUGGGAGCAAUUUCAGUGGCUAAGCGAAAGUGAUAAGUAUCCCACCUGGGGAGUACGAACGCAAGUUUGAAACUCAAAGGAAUUG